rnacentral:rRNA from 1 species
GCGUUGCUCGGAAUCACUGGGCGUAAAGGGCGCGUAGGCGGCCUGAUAAGUCGGGGGUGAAAGCCUGUGGCUCAACCACAGAAUUGCCUUCGAUACUGUUAGGCUUGAGACCGGAAGAGGUAAGUGGAACUGCGAGUGUAGAGGUGAAAUUCGUAGAUAUUCGCAAGAACACCAGUGGCGAAGGCGGCUUACUGGUCCGGAUCUGACGCUGAGGCGCGAAAGCGUG